rnacentral:ncRNA from 1 species
AGACCGGGACGGCCCGGUCACCACAGACGGGCUUCACCGGGACGACCCGG